rnacentral:rRNA from 1 species
CCUACGGGAGGCAGCAGUCGGGAAUAUUGCACAAUGGGGGAAACCCUGAUGCAGCGACGCCGCGUGAGCGAGGAAGUAUUUCGGUAUGUAAAGCUCUAUCAGCAGGGACGAAAAUAGACGGUACUUGACUAAGAAGCCCCGGCUAACUACGUGCAAGCAGCCGCGGUAAUACGGAGGGGCAAAGCGUUACCCGGAUUUACUGGGUGUAAAGGGAGCGUAGACGGCAAGGCAAGCAAGAAGUGAAAGGGCAGGGCUCAACCCUGUACAUGCAUUUGAAACUGUGGUGCUAGAGUGCAGGAGAGGUAAGUGGAAUUCCGAGUGUAGCGGUGAAAUGCGUAGAUAUUAGGAGGAACACCAGUGGCGAAGGCGGCUUACUGGACUGUAACUGACGUUGAGGCUCGAAAGUGUGGGGAGCAAACAGGAUUAGAUACCCCGGUAGUC